rnacentral:tRNA from 15 species
UGCGGGAUGGAGCAGUCUGGUAGCUCGUCGGGCUCAUAACCCGAAGGUCGUUGGUUCGAAUCCAGCUCCCGCUACCA